UGGGGAAUCUUGGACAAUGGGGGCAACCCUGAUCCAGCCAUGCCGCGUGAGUGAUGAAGGCCUUAGGGUCGUAAAGCUCUUUCGCCUGUGAAGAUAAUGACGGUAGCAGGUAAAGAAACCCCGGCUAACUCCGUGCCAGCAGCCGCGGUAAUACGGAGGGGGUUAGCGUUGUUCGGAAUUACUGGGCGUAAAGCGCACGUAGGCGGACCAGAAAGUUGGGGGUGAAAUCCCGGGGGCUCAACCCCGGAACUGCCUCCAAAACUAUUGGUCUAGAGUUCGAGAGAGGUGAGUGGAAUUCCAAGUGUAGAGGUGAAAUUCGUAGAUAUUAGGUGGAACACCAGUGGCGAAGGCGCCUAACUGGUCCGGUACUGACGCUGAGGAACGAAAGCGUGGGGAGCAAACAGGAUUAGAUACCCUGGUAGUCCACGCCGUAAACGAUGAGUGCCAGUCGUCGGGUAGCAUGCUAUUCGGUGACACACCUAACGGAUUAAGCAUUCCGCCUGGGGAGUACGGUCGCAGAUUAAAACUCAAAGGAAUUGAC
rnacentral:rRNA from 1 species